GAGAAGCGAGAAGGGGACCCGGAAGAACACAGAGCCACAGUGACCAGGAUUUAUGCGUGGGGCCCGAGAGGCGGCCAUAGAAAGUCUGGGUCAUCAGCAAGCCUGGGAGGCUGUGGAGGCUUGGGCUUGCCAGUCCUCAGGGGGGCAGACAGAAUCUGCGUAUUUUGGUUUUGCUUUCUCCUAGAUGUGAAAGGGCGUUGGAAGUGGUGGUAGAAGGUAGGUGAAAGCAGGGAGAAUGUUGGCCAGAAUGAUGGAGUAGAAGUCUUCAGCUCCCCCCCCAUAAUACCCCCCUUUUCUUUCUAAACCUCCCUUGGCUGCAGAAAAAUAAGGAAACUGAGGAGAAAAUUCUCUCUAAAAGGAGCCGGACGGUGGGGGGGAGGAGAAGAGGAAAUCUGAAUGAGAACCCUAUGAUUCUCGUCAAUAUUUCUAAGAAGAUGGGGAGCAAGGUGGAAAUCGACACGGAGAAUUCAUGGAUAGAAGUCAUCUCGACACUGAGUUCCAGUCUCAGCUUUGCAGGAGGACCGGGGAUAACUCCGGGAAACUGUCCCCACCAUUGUCCCCACUUAACCGGAAGGAUCCACGGCACCGAAAGUAACUUGCCCC
rnacentral:lncRNA from 1 species